GAUUGGUNAUGGACGGAAGUCUGAACCAGCCAUGCCGCGUGAAGGAUGACUGCCCUCUGGGUUGUAAACUUCUUUUAUCUGGGACGAAAAAAGGGCUUUUUAGCUCACUUGACGGUACCAGAGGAAUAAGCACCGGCUAACUCCGUGCCAGCAGCCGCGGUAAUACGGAGGGUGCAAGCGUUAUCCGGAUUUACUGGGUUUAAAGGGUGCGUAGGUGGGCGAGAAAGUCAGUGGUGAAAUCUCCGGGCUUAACCCGGAAACUGCCAUUGAUACUAUUUGUCUUGAAUACUUUGGAGGUAAGCGGAAUAUGUCAUGUAGCGGUGAAAUGCUUAGAUAUGACAUAGAACACCAAUUGCGCAGGCAGCUUACUACACAGUAAUUGACACUGAGGCACGAAAGCGUGGGGAUCAAGCAGGAUUAGAUACCCUGGUAGUCCACGCCCUAAACGAUGGAUACUCGACAUUAGCGAUAUACAGUUAGUGUCUGAGCGAAAGCAUUAAGUAUCCCACCUGGGAAGUACGAUCGCAAGAUUGAAACUCAAAGAAAUUGACGGA
rnacentral:rRNA from 1 species